UACGGAGGGGGCAAGCGUUAUUCGGAAUUACUGGGCGUAAAGGGCUCGUAGGCGGCCAACUAAGUCAGACGUGAAAUCCCUCGGCUUAACCGGGGAACUGCAUCUGAUACUGGAUGGCUUGAGUUCGGGAGAGGGAUGCGGAAUUCCAGGUGUAGCGGUGAAAUGCGUAGAUAUCUGGAGGAACACCGGUGGCGAAGGCGGCAUCCUGGACCGACACUGACGCUGAGGAGCGAAAGCCAGGGGAGCAAACGGG
rnacentral:rRNA from 1 species